GGGUUUUUGUUGUUGGUGGUGGUUGUUGUUGUUGUUGUUGUUGUUUUUUCCUGCCAGUACUGCUACUUUCUGGUGAACGUGAGUUUGUGAUGUUCUUUCUCUAAGCUCUGAGACCGAACCUUAACACUACACUUCGCUGGGGCAGUGUACGAUUUUGACAGUUGGUGUGAAUCAUGAGGUUUAAGCUGUAGCUUGGUUUCAGAACCAUGCAUAAAAUGCAUAUUUUCCUUUGUGUAAUUUCCUGUUUUGUGAGGAUGAAAUGUUCUUUAGAUUGGAAUUGAUUUUCCUUGUAUUUAUUAGUGUCCAUUUGCACUAACACUUGAUCUCGGUGUAGGUGUACAGAGCCUGCUGUAGCUGUGUGUGAAAACUGGCUAGGUUAGAGAUUUUUUUGUUUACAAGCAAUGUUACUGGUUACCCAACUGGCCACAGUGGGAAAUAUCUCUGCUGCAAUUUGCAGCGUCUUACUCUGGGGUUUGUGUCCAAAGCUAUGAUUAAUAUUUUAAGUUUGGGUUUGGUUGUUUUUGUGGGUUGUUUUAUUUUUUAUUUUUUUAAUUAUUUUUAUUGCCUGGCAUUCUACCUAAUCAAUGCACAAUAAGAUGCCUGUAGUUGCUAAAUCUUGAUAUAUAAUUAAAAGCUAUAAAUAUAGUGUAAGAAUAACACAGUGUUGCUGAUAUUUUUAAAUGAUGCAGCACUAUGGUAGGGCUUGUGUCAUGGGGUAAUUUGGUAAUUUUUCCUUUUUUUUUUUUUUUUUUCCUCAUUGAAAAUAUGUGAGUUAUGAGUUUUGAUUGCUUCUCUGUAAGACUUUUCCCCACCUAAGUGCCUUGUCAUUGGUGUCCGCUCCUGAAUUGGAGAUACCGGUACUGAGAGGGAUCUGUGAAGUCACCUCUCUACCUUGGCCUCCCUAUCUAUGUGGUGUGUACUGCUGGUACUUUACAAAGAAAAUGAGUCUGCCAUUUUCCUUCUAGCUGUUUCAAGUAGCUUUUCCCAUUUUCUCACUGACUGACUGAUCCCUGUAUGGAUUUGAGGAUCAAAUUCUGUUGCUGACUGAAAGGGAUGCACUGCCAUCAGCUAAGGAAAAUGACAAGUGGGUAGUUUUUUGGAAACUGCUUUAUCAGUUUCA